AAACCGUAGAGCCGCACCCGCUCGGGGAAGAUGCUGGAGAGGAUGCGUCGGUCCAGCUGGAAGGCAAUUUCCCCCACCAGCCGCUCCCAGCUGCCCCAAGGCGGACUGUCCAUUUCUACCUCGUCACCUCUGCCGAGUGGUUCCCCCGGCCAAAGGAAUGGAUCCAGCUGCCCUCCACCCUCAUCCGCGGGCUGGAUCACCCUCACCUUCACCCUAACCCUCAUCCCCUCACCUGGCGGGGCCAAUCCCACCUCUGGAGUCUAAUCUACCCUCUCCCCUGGAGCUCGCUUCCCUCACCCCCCACCUCAUACAUCCCUCCCUCUCCCCCGACCCAUCUGUCCUUCCCCUACAGCCUCCAUCUCCCACGCUUGGGUUUCAUGAAAAUUAAUAAAGCUCAGCAUCUCCUCUU